GGAAGCGUUUGGGUGUCUGGUGACCCCCACGGUCUUCAAAACCGAUGUGGCCGGGUAUCCCGGUCAGGCGGGUUCGAUUCCCGUCCGCUUCC
rnacentral:tRNA from 1 species